GCGUAAGCGCACGCAGGCGGUCUGUUAAGUUGGAUGUGAAAUCCCCGGGCUUAACCUGGGAACUGCAUUCAAAACUGACAGGCUAGAGUCUCGUAGAGGGGGGUAGAAUUCCAGGUGUAGCGGUGAAAUGCGUAGAGAUCUGGAGGAAUACCGGUGGCGAAGGCGGCCCCCUGGACGAAGACUGACGCUCAGGUGCGAAAGCGUGGGGAGCAAACAGGAUUAGAUACCCUGGUAGUCCACGCUGUAAACGAUGUCGACUUGGAGGUUGUGCCCUUGAGGCGUGGCUUCCGGAGCUAACGCGUUAAGUCGACCGCCUGGGGAGUACGGCCGCAAGGUUAAAACUCAAAUGAAUUGACGGGGGCCCGCACAAGCGGUGGAGCAUGUGGUUUAAUUCGAUGCAACGCGAAGAACCUUACCUACUCUUGACAUCCAGAGAAUUUGGCAGAGAUGCCUUAGUGCCUUCGGGAGCUCUGAGACAGGUGCUGCAUGGCUGUCGUCAGCUCGUGUUGUGAAAUGUUGGGUUAAGUCCCGCAACGAGCGCAACCCUUAUCCUUUGUUGCCAGCACUUCGGGUGGGAACUCCA
rnacentral:rRNA from 1 species